GCACCGUCGUUCUUCUCCGGUUUCGGGAAUCCGGUGCGAGUCCGGAGCGGUCCCGCCGCUGUCAUCCCUGCGCCUCGGGCGCCACGCCACAGCCAUGAAGCCACUGCCCCCUGCGGGCGGGAAGGCGGUUGUGAGUGGGGAGAGCCAGAAUACCGGGCCGGAGCAGUCUCGAUCCC
rnacentral:ncRNA from 2 species